UGACAAUCCUAGAGAUAGGACGGUUCCCCUUCGGGGGACAGAGUGACAGGUGGUGCAUGGUUGUCGUCAGCUCGUGUCGUGAGAUGUUGGGUUAAGUCCCGCAACGAGCGCAACCCUUGAUCUUAGUUGCCAGCAUUCAGUUGGGCACUCUAAGGUGACUGCCGGUGACAAACCGGAGGAAGGUGGGGAUGACGUCAAAUCAUCAUGCCCCUUAUGACCUGGGCUACACACGUGCUACAAUGGAUGGUACAAAGGGCUGCAAGACCGCGAGGUUUAGCCAAUCCCAUAAAACCAUUCUCAGUUCGGAUUGCAGGCUGCAACUCGCCUGCAUGAAGCCGGAAUCGCUAGUAAUCGCGGAUCAGCAUGCCGCGGUGAAUACGUUCCCGGGCCUUGUACACACCGCCCGUCACACCACGAGAGUUUGUAACACCCGAAGUCGGUGGGGUAACCGCAAGGAGCCAGCCGUCCUAAGGUGGUACU
rnacentral:rRNA from 1 species